GAUGAACGCUGGCGGCGUGCUUAACACAUGCCAGUCGAACGAGAAGUGAAGACGGAAACCUUCGGGCGGAAGGCUUUAUUUCGAGUGGCGGACGGGUGAGUAACGCGUGGGUAACCUGCCUCAUACAGGGGGAUAACAGUUGGAAACGACUGUUAAUACCGCAUAAGACCACAGCACCGCAUGGUGCGGGGGUAAAAACUCCGGUGGUAUGAGAUGGACCCGCGUUCGAUUAGCCAGUUGGCGGGGUAACGGCCCACCAAAGCGACGAUCGAUAGCCGAUCUGAGAGGAUGACCGGCCACAUUGGGACUGAGACACGGCCCAAACUCCUACGGGAGGCAGCAGUGGGGAAUAUUGCACAAUGGGGGAAACCCUGAUGCAGCGACGCCGCGUGAGUGAAGAAGUAUUUCGGUAUGUAAAGCUCUAUCAGCAGGGAAGAAAAUGACGGUACCGGAGUAAGAAGCCCCGGCUAACUA
rnacentral:rRNA from 1 species